rnacentral:misc_RNA from 1 species
GUGGUGUUGUGUGGUGUUGGGGAGAUAAUGACUGGGAGUUGAAAGUAUAUUUUCAAAGGUAAUUGGACAUUAACUACUAGUUUGAUCCAUAUUAUCCAAAUAUCUUAUGAGGUUCUUGACGUCUUAAAACUAAUGCAUAGUCUUUUUUACCUAUUCUGUCCUUCCCUCUUUCUUUUUCCAUUUAAAUCUUUGUUGAGCAUAGGUUCUGACCAUAAGAGGUGUGGCUUUAGUCAGGGAUGGAAUGCCAAUCUCAGUUGGACAUUAAGUUUUGUUGGGCAUAUCUGCAGAGCUUUUAACAUCCACAUUUUGAAAACAGAGAAUGCAGAUGAGUUGCCUUUUUCGUUUUGGUGUUUGUGAGCUUCCUGGAUUAACUUUUUAACAUCAAGAUUCUGUCAUAAUCUCAUGAUGAUGUGCAUGUUCAGCAUGGUUUUGCAUGUAUGUAUAUAGAGUAACAGUAACUUGCAUGAAUAGGCAGAUACUUCUGAAGGCCCAUAUUUUGUAUGAUACAGUCUAUUAUUUGAUCCAACUAGAUGGACAUAGUAAAUGGCAUGGUAAUCUGUAAUUUCCUGAUCCUAAUUUACAAAUAGCGACCAGGUUGAGUAAAGAGGCUGUUUCCCUAGUGCUCCCUUAACAUUAAGGACCAGCUGAAUUAAACUGAUUUAAUUUAUUUUCGCCAGCUUUUCUAAUCUGCUGGACUCUACUUUUCAUUUAAUUUUUUAGUAAUGCUUUCUUUUUUUUUAUUGUCAUCUUUGUUAGCAUCUGACGAUAAUUCCCAUUGAAAUUGUAUUGAUUUGUCUCAUCAAAAUUAGAUUUGUUAAAAAGAUAUUUAUGACGUCUGUGAAGUGUUUGUGAAUUUGUGAUCUUGCACUAUAUUUAUGGUGUCUGUGAAGUAUCCAAAUAAAGUUGAUCACUUGGAUGGAUGUGGUUGAGAUCCAGCAUUCACGUCUUGGUCUCAGUUGGCUGCAGAUUUUUAAAAAAACCACUUACUAUAUGGUACAAAAGAAUGACCAGAUUUGAGAAGUCAUGCAUGGCUGCUGAAAGCAAAGGCUUCUAACUCGGAUAAUGAUCCUGAGAAACAAUCAGCAUCAAGAAAAUAGUUGACGAGGAGCUUUCCAAACUUGAGUUUAUGUAUUCUGCUAAACUCAACCAAGGUGAACUUUAGUCUCAACAUAGAUCGAAUGGACUGUAUAAAUUCUUUCGUAUCAUAAUUCUUUACCCGACUCGAUGAAACUCCUCGUUUACCUUAUUAAGUGAAGAUACAUUGGGGACCUUGUGCAUAAAAUCCAUUGUUCUGUCACAUCUAAUCAUUCCUCUGCAUUAUUUCCUUGAAAUCCAGGCUUAUAUUUAUUGCUCGACCCAAGGCUCAAGGUACCAUCUUAUGAUGGUAGAGAAAGGGUUCUAAUGUCUAUUCCUUUCAGUAGCAGACCAAACAAUAAGAGUCGAAACAGCAUUUUCUUUUGCUCUCUCCAUUAAUUCAUGAACUUUUCAAUGAUCAACCAAUUGCUUUUUAUCUGGGGUACCUUACCUUCUGCGCAGAGCACGUGCAUAAUAAACAGAAAUAAGGUUGCAAUAACACAUCCAUGCCUGUUGGUCCAUUGACAACUAGC